rfam:Clostridium botulinum B str. Eklund 17B, complete genome.
UAAUAUUCUCGGUAGGUGAGGUUACCAUAGGGAUACGGAUUGCUGCCGCAAAAUAAUGGAGACAUUAUUAGUUGGUUAGCAGGAUACGUCGAAAAAUAAGGCGUAUUUUAAUGCAAUUUCAUUGCCCUACGAAGCUGAAGCUUGAACGAGCAGAUAAUAAGA